CAAAGACCGGAGCUACAGAGCCCAGGCACCCAGCAGGGAAGGCUAAGGAAUCAACAAUGCAAUUAAAAGUCUUCAGCCAGCAAUGGAAAUAUUGAACAGUUGCACUGUUUCAAGUGAAGAGACAAUUGGUAACUCCAUAGACAGAGGGAAAAGCAUUAAGGUCAAUCCAGACAGGAUUUCAAUCAAGAGGAGAAAGCUAUCACUUGGUCAGAGACUUUGAAGGCAUGAAAAUUAAUCUGAGUACUCUGAAGGAGCUAGCCUGCCAAAGGAGGAAAAAUCAGAGCCUUUCAAACCAAAGGACUCAAAGAAAACAUCCUGGAAAGGCUAAAGCAAGGAGAGCGCCACAAGCCACCAGCUCAUUUUAAGUCAGUGAGGUACUGAACUAUUAAGGGGAAAGAAACUGGCAAUAUUGACUGAGAAAACUGGGACAAAGCCUGCAGAGGUUUAAUCCAGUUUGGUGCACAUACCUUUCAGCGUUACAUGAAAGCUUUUAGUUCCCUGGGGGUCUGCAGAGGCUUGUUUCACUUCGUCAAGAAAUGGAGGAUGUCUUCUGGGUAACACCAGCACCCGUCUGGACUGAGAAUACACAUUUCCAUCCCACAAAACAUGACAGACACGGGACAGGGUGACAUCAUCCUGGAUGACCCUGUGAGCCACACCACAGGCCUGAAGAUGCUUAACCUUCAUGUACUUCCAUAACAUAGGAGAAAACCGCAUCAAUACAAGACUGUUUGCUCAAGGCAGUUAAACUAAAUAUUUAAGUCAAUGGGGAAACCUCAAUAAAAUUGCUGCUGUGUACCCAUAUUGCAGAGUUUUAUCUAGUCCUGAACAAGUGUUUUUAUCUGCAGUGUCUUCACUAGUAUCCACUUUCAG
rnacentral:lncRNA from 1 species